UUUUGCUAUUAUGAAUAAUGAUAUUAAGAACAUUUAUAUACAAUACUUCCAUGUCAACGUAUGUUUCUACUGCCCUGGAGUAUUUACCUCAAAGUAGAAUUCCUGGGAGAAAAUUUAUAAUGGUUCCAGUUUCCCCAUAUUCUCAUGAACAUUCACAAGGUUAAACCAACGACAAAGGAGCAUAGCAGAAUUUGCUGGGAUGAUAGACUCUAUUUUGACUGUGGUAGUGAUUACAGAUUAUAUGCAUUUAUAAAUACUCACAGAAUUUUCCUCUAAAAAAGUUAAAUACUGCGUGUAAAUUACAUCUUAAUAAAUAAUAUUAACAUUUAGAAAUAUAUUUUGAAAAGAUACAAUAAUUCUGGAACAUAGAAAUAUCACUGGAAAGAGAUUUGAUAAAAUAAGAUAUCCAGGGUUAGGCAAAUUUAUUCACUUUUAGUGGUAGAUAUAAAUGUACAAGAUGAUAAUUUUACUUGAAAUUUAUGGAUAAGUACCAAGAGUUCCCUAAAUAUUUGCAUUUGUUUAAACUUAAUUUACUCAGUGUUACAUAAAAUCAAAUUGAGCAAAUAUUUGUAUGAGUGUAAUUAACAGUGUUUUUUAAAUUUAUCAGUACAUUUCGACAGAUGCAAUAUAUAGCUUACUUUAUCAUCUAUGCAUUAUAAAACUAGCUUUCUCUUUAGAAAAACAUAAAAAAACUUCCAGAUUUACCUGUAUAACACUCAAAGAAACAAGAAAGCUCUUUGUAGUUUGUGACAUAAAUAUUAUUGACUUAUUUUCAGAACAAUGUGAAAAUUUUAUCUGUUUUGGCUAUAAUGCUAAGUAUCUAAGAUAUAUAUUACCAUGUGCUUCCCUGUAUGCAUGUGUACAUGUAUAUAUGAGAAAGAGAGAGAGAUAACAUUUAAAAUGCUUCUCUGAGAACAAAAAGGCAGAAACACACAUGAACUAGGUUACCUCAAGUAAAAUCUCUAACUCAGUUUUAAUUUAAUAACUAUGAAAGUCAUGAUUUUACUCUUUUUCAGAAACUAUACUUUAACACUAUUUAUAACACUCUAAGUGAUUCAAAUUUUCUUUGAAAACAUAAACAGAGAUGGAUACUUAGGACAGGUCCACUAGAAGCAGAGCUUGAGAUAGGGUUGAGGUGUGAUUGAAUCUGGGGGGUAAGUAUUCUUCAGGAGAAGAACUGAGGCAGUACAGGGAAUGAAAAGAGAAGAGCAAUGAUGUUCUGAUCCACAGGAAGAGAACUCUGGACUAUACACCACACAUACAAGAUUGUCUUUUAUUUUAGGUAAGAGGGUAGAGCUUUCAAGUCCUCAUACUGUAUUUCACAGACUGAAGACCAUUCCCUGAGGGAGGAGUGGUUUUGUAUGUUUCCUAGUGAGGUAGGUCCCAUUAGUUAAUUUGGGUAAUUCUCUGAAGAUAUCUGGCAGCUCUGAGCCAUUACCAGGUAACCCUUAUAACAGAUGGGGGCUGCACGUAAAGGCGGUCUAGAUUAGACAAUUUCACACCUACAUUGCUCAUAAAGAUGAUCUAUGUCCAGGCCCUCAUAAAGCAAAGCCCAGAUAUAGUACAUAUUUAUAUUCAGUAAAUUAUAUUUAUAUUCCUUUACCAAAUAAAUAUAAAUAUUUUAAUAAAGGAUUUUGCUAAUCCUAUAUACAAAACCACAAAUUUUGUCUACUUAUACAUAAAACUACCUUAGAACUUAUGUCUUUUAAAGAAACUACCACCAUUCUUCCUACAAAAAGCAUAAGCAGAGCACUCAGGCCAUAGAAUAUAUGUGGCUGACCUCAGUACAGAACUGGGCAGAAGAAACUCACAAAAGAAGAAAUACGAAUAAUACAUUAAAAUGUAACUCUAUUAAACCUCACCAGCAAUAAAAUAUUUCACUGAACAAUGAAGUAUUUUCCCUAAUGUGCUAAAAUUUUACUUUCUUGGAUUAAUGUAGGUAGCAGUAAGUAGACAGGUUCACUUAUGAUUAUAGAACUGUACAUCAGUACAAUCUUUCUGAGCAAUCUGGUAAACAGGAAGAGGUUUUUUUGAAGUAUCAAUUCCACAGGUAUAAAUAAACCAAAAGAAAUAAAUCAGAGCUAUAUAAAUUAAAAGUCAUUCCUAGGUAGGCAAGGGUGAAAGAAAGAUACUCUUUAAAGAUAUUCUUUCUAAAAAUAUACACAACAAAUGUCUACAAAAGUUCUCUACUUUAAUGAGUACUGUCAUGGCAGGUGUGGGAGAUUUAUAUGACAAAAUUAUAUAUCUUAAAAUUAUUUCUAUAUAAAAGUAAUGGAACAAAAGAAAGAUGGGAAGGAAGGAAGGAAAGAAAGAAGGAAGGAGAGGAGGAAGGCAGGAAGAAAAGGGAAAUUUUGUAAAUUUAUAGGUAUAUGACUAUAGAAGUCAAGUUCUUUUUGAGAAAACAGAGUCAAGACAAAAAAAAAAAAAAAAAUCCAGACCAAGAACUUAGUCUUUUUUUCAUUUCCUUAAUUUUUGUCCUUGCGUCUAAGGUAACAACAUGGUACCCAUGAUAACGGUAUUUUCAGGUCCUUUUAGCCUGUAUAAAUACUAGUUGCUGCUCCUCAGAAACCUCUGCAUUUGAUCGUACAGGGUGUACAACUGAAAAACCUAAGUUAAGUUGGCCCUUAAUUUCUUUUAUCAACUAGAACUAUGCUUAGCUUUCUUGGUCAAAUUAAUUGUAAUACCAGCCUGUAAUAUAAGCAGUACAUGAAAAUAUAUUUAAAGUAUAAACUGUCAACUUUAAAUUGUUUGCUAUUUUAAACAUUUAAUAGUAACCUUUCAAUUAUAAUGUCAAUUUCUUAUCCCUGUAGAAAAGUACCCAAACAGGUAAAGAAGGGAUACUUCAUCAAAGGCUGCAGUAUGGCUGGUUUUAUAUUUCAAAAAAUGACUUCAAGUUUUAAUUAUUCCAUGCCUCAGUCUCGAUUGUAUAGAUUUUCCAAGUUCCAAAAAUCCCAGGCAGAGGACAGGACAUAUUGAAUUAUUAGGGCAACAAUCCAAUGCCCAUAAUUUCUGUCCUGAUAAGAAAAGGGCCUUAAAUACCUUGUCUUUGAGGCUUGAACCCUCAGUGGCUAUGAGAAAUGACUCAAAACUCAUACCUCUUAUCAGAACCUCCUUGCUCAAGUGUAGUAUGUAUAGUUUCUACCAUGUUACCUUGUAUUCAGAUAGUGCUAGUUGGCCUAAUUAGGAAUUGCGAGUCAGAUGAGUCUCACCAUCUCACUUAGAAAUUAUUCUCAACCACAAGUUCUUCAGUCAGUCAUUUCCAUCCCAAAUCUCUGCUAAUUAAACUCCCUCACCCCACAAAAUGAAAGGAAUUUAAGAUACAUCUUUGGUUCUUUAUAGCAUGUACUGAAAGAAGU
ensembl:lncRNA